rnacentral:rRNA from 1 species
AACGAACGCUGGCGGCAUGCCUAACACAUGCAAGUCGAACGAGACCUUCGGGUUUAGUGGCGCACGGGUGCGUAACGCGUGGGAACCUGCCCUUAGGUUCGGAAUAACUCCCCGAAAGGGGUGCUAAUACCGGAUAAUGUCUUCGGACCAAAGAUUUAUCGCCUUUGGAUGGGCCCGCGUUGGAUUAGCUAGUUGGUAGGGUAAACGCCUACCAAGGCGACGAUCCAUAGCUGGUCUGAGAGGAUGAUCAGCCACACUGGGACUGAGACACGGCCCAGACUCCUACGGGAGGCAGCAGUGGAGAAUAUUGGACAAUGGGCGAAAGCCUGAUCCAGCAGUGCCGCGUGAGUGAUGAAGGCCUUAGGGUUGUAAAGCUCUUUUACCCGGGAUGAUAAUGACAGUACCGGGAGAAUAAGCUCCGGCUAACUCCGUG